GAUGAAGAACGCAGCGAAAUGCGAUAAGUAGUGUGAAUUGCAGAAUUCAGUGAAUCAUCGAAUCUUUGAACGCACAUUGCGCCUCCUGGUAUUCCGGGGGGCAUGCCUGUUCGAGCGUCAUUUCACCACUCAAGCCUCGCUUGGUAUUGGGCAACGCGGUCCGCCGCGUGCCUCAAAUCGACCGGCUGGGUCUUCUGUCCCCUAAGCGUUGUGGAAACUUUCGCUAAAGGGUGUUCGGGAGGCUACGCCGUAAAACAACCCCAUUUCUAAGGUUGACCUCGGAUCAGGUAGGGAUACCCGCUGAACUUAAGCAUAUCAAUAAGCGGAGGA
rnacentral:misc_RNA from 1 species